GCUAAACGCGAAGAACCUUACCCAGGUUUGACAUCCUUGGAAGUACUGCGAAAGCAGAAUGUGCCUUCGGGAACCAAGUGACAGGUGAUGCAUGGCCGUCUUCAGCUCGUGUCGUGAGAUGUUUGGUUAAGUCCAUUAACGAGCGCAACCCUUAUAGUUAGUUGAAUUUUCUAGCUAGACUGCCCUGGCAACAGGGAGGAAGGAGGGGAUGAUGUCAGGUCAGUAUCUCCCUUACAUCUGGGGCUACAAACACGCUACAAUGGCCGGUACAAAGGGCAGCCAACCCGCGAGGGGGAGCAAAUCCUAUCAAAGCCGGUCUCAGUUCGGAUAGCAGGCUGAAACUCGCCUGCUUGAAGUCGGAAUCGCUAGUAACGGUAGGUCAGCACACUACCGUGAAUACGUUCCGGGUCUUGUACACACCG
rnacentral:rRNA from 1 species